rnacentral:rRNA from 1 species
AAGGUCUGGCGCUUCAUGAUGAGCCAGCGGCCUAUCAGCUAGUUGGUAAGGUAACGGCUUACCAAGGCUAAGACGGGUAGCUGGUCUGAGAGGACGACCAGCCACACUGGAACUGAGACACGGUCCAGACACCUACGGGUGGCAGCAGUCGAGAAUUUUUCACAAUGGGCGCAAGCCUGAUGGAGCGACGCCGCGUGGGGGAUGAAUGGCUUCGGCCCGUAAACCCCUGUCAUUUGCGAUCAACCGUUGUUGUUUAAGAGAUGACAACCUGAUAGUAGCGAAAGAGGAAGGGACGGCUAACUCUGUGCCAGCAGCCGCGGUAAUACAGAGGUCCCAAGCGUUGUUCGGAUUCACUGGGCGUAAAGGGUGCGUAGGUGGCGGGGUAAGUCGGAUGUGUAAUCUCUGAGCUCAACUCGGAAAUGGCAUUGGAAACUGCUCUGCUCGAGGGUUGGAGGGGGGACUGGAAUACUUGGUGUAGCAGUGAAAUGCGUAGAUAUCAAGUGGAACACCAGUGGCGAAGGCGAGUCCCUGGACAACUCCUGACACUGAGGCACGAAAGCUAGGGGAGCAAACAGGAUUAGAUACCCUGGUAGUCCUAGCCGUAAACGGUGCAUGUUUGCUGUAAAAGGAAUCGACCCCUUUUGUGGCGUAGCCAACGCGUUAAACAUGCCGCCUGGGAAGUACGGUCGCAAGAUUAAA